CAGCAGCAUCUCACCCCGUCCGACCACAAAGCAGAACCUCUGCACCCUGCCAGCGACAGACUUCAGCAGGAAGCCAGAGGCUCUGAGUGGGUUUGAGAGCUGUUGGAAGGGGACGCAAGCGCGUUUCUGUUUUUGGAGAAUUGGGGGAGGAGCUUAACUCUGCUGCACAUUAAUGGGAAAAUCACCUUUAAAUGCACCUUUUUAUCUUCAAACUCUGCCAGGCGGCGUAUAAAAGGAAAGCUAUUUGUAACCACUGCAAACCAGAAGUAUCUUAUUACCGGAGUACUACCAGCCUGAAGUACCACGAAGCUGAAUACUACGAGCCUGAAGUACCACGAAGCUGAAUACUACGAGCCUGAAGUACCACGAAGCUGAAUACUACGAGCCUGAAGUACCACGAAGCUGAAUACUACGAGCCUGAAGUACCACGAAGCUGAAUACUACGAGCCUGAAGUACCACGAAGCUGAAUACUACGAGCCUGAGGAACUGAGAACACGAGAUCAGACCUGUUCUUUAAGUAGACAGACGGUCCCUGAAGGCAACACAGAAACAGGAGUCUGGUUGUGGCUGCUCCGCCUCCAGAGAGUGUCAGUGACUCUUCUUGGAGGAGCCGAAGCCGGAGAAGCCCAUCACCGCCGCCAUCUCAUCGUCUUCCUCCAGGUCCACGUCCUCCUCCGC